rnacentral:ncRNA from 1 species
GACAAAGACUUAGUCCUAACCUUACCGUUGGUUGUUGCUAGGUAUAUACAUGCGAGUAUCCGCAUUCCAGUGUAGACGCCCUGGGUACCCUAAUCUAGGUCGACAGGAGCAGGUAUCAGGCACACCCACGUUGUAGCCCAAAACGCCUUGCAAUUGCCACGCCCCCACGGGUUUUCAGCAGUAGUUAACAUUAAGCAAUGAGUGCAAACUUGACUUAGCCAUAGCAAAUCCAGGGUCGGUAAAUCCUGUGCCAGCCACCGCGGUCAUACAGGAGACCCAAGUCAACGUUAUAACGGCGUAAAGUGUGGUAACAUGUUAUCUAAAGUAGCUAAGAUUAAAAAGCAACUGAGCUGUCGUAAGCCCAAGAUGCCCAUAAGGCCUCCACCAAAGAAGAUCUUAGACCAAAGACCUAUUGAAACCCACGAAAGCCAGGACCCAAACUGGGAUUAGAUACCCCACUAUGCCUGGCCCUAAAUCUUGAUGCUCGAUCUUACCGGAGCAUCCGCCCGAGAACUACGAGCACAAACGCUUAAAACUCUAAGGACUUGGCGGUGUUCCAAACCCACCUAGAGGAGCCUGUUCUGUAAUCGAUGAUCCACGAUAUACCUGACCAUUCCUUGCCCGAGCAGCCUAUAUACCGCCGUCGCCAGCCCACCCAGCAUGAAGGCCCAACAGUGGACGCAAUAGCCCUACCGCGCUAAUAAGACAGGUCAAGGUAUAGCCUAUGGAAUGGAAGCAAUGGGCUACAUUUUCUAAGCUAGAACAUAACGGCAAAGGGAUAUGAAACUGUCCCUGGAAGGCGGAUUUAGCAGUAAAGUGGGACAAUCGAGCCCUCUUUAAGCCGGCCCUGGAGCACGUACAUACCGCCCGUCACCCUCCUCAAAAGCGCCCCC